ensembl:lncRNA
CUGAGGUCCUCCCCAGCACCCGGCCUCAUUAAGCAGAAGCAGAAGCCGAGCCCAUGCUUGGAGUUGGGGCUGGGUCACAGGGACCCAGAACCCACUGGCUGGGUGAGGCCCGAGCCUCAGUUUCCCUAUUUACAAAGUGGAGCUAAAAAUAGACCUUUCUUUGGUGUUGUUGGCGUGAGAAUUAAAUGAGGAGAAAAUGCUUCCAGUGUCCCUCCCCAGUGGCCCUCAGUUUCCCCAUCUGGGAACUGAAGGGUCAGAUUAAAUAAUUCCCAGGGCCCUGAACCCUGGUAUAGAUGACAAACUCCAGUGACUUUUGGAGGAGGAAAGGUGCCUCUCUGGACAUGUCAGCUGGAAUCCAGAGAACAAGUCGAAAAGCAGAAGCUGUGAAUCCUUUAGAAGUUUUGCCUGUGCUCCUGGUUCCUGCGUCCUAAAAAGCCCAGGACCGUGGCUCCCUUUCCACACCCAGGAGCCCUGUUGCACCAACACACUGCAGGGCACCCAGGAGUCCACCAGCGGGGACAGGCCAGCUGCGGCAGCCCCGGCUCGGCCGUCUGGCUGUCCUUUAGUCCCUCUCACCCUAGUAGACAAAUCCUGACACACGUCCUCGAUCUUUCCUGGUGAUAAACCCAGCGCUGAGGCUCGAGGCUGGGUUUGCGGGAAGCUGGGCACAUCGCCUGUCCACAGGGAUGUGCGUCCCGGCUUCUCCGGACGAGGACUUGGCAUUGGCAGCUCAACCCCAGAGUCAAGAGCCACAGCUACAGAGAGCACAGCACGGAAGGUACUCCCCUCGCCUGCCUUCAUUCCCACAGAGCCCUGGGCCAUUGGAGGCACGGGGCGUAGACAGCCCCUUCCAGAGAUGCUGACUUCCCACUGAACCAGUGAUUCCCAUGCGCAGGGUCCCGGCCAGGCUCCUCACAGUGAGUCAACACUGCAGACUGCAGUGAAGCUCAGAAAGCUCAGGUGAGCGUCACGCAGUGGGACUCUGGGGAACCCAGGCCAUCUCAGAGAGCACCCUCAGACCUCCCAGC